CGGUAAUCAAACUACUUCAGGAGUCAAAGAGUCGCCAGAACCUAAUUCAGAUCAUGAUGUUACACCACGAAGAAAUUCUGAUUCUGAUGAGUACGAACCGGGUUGGGAGUCAGACCGCAGUUACUGGAAAGCAGACUAAACGAUCGUAUCUCCGGCACCACAUGAACGAAAAAAGAAGGAAAUAACUUCCAAUCUUAUGCCGACCUUUUGUAACAGCAAUAUCACUCCGUAAAAUAGGCUCUCCCUGACAGAAGACAUAUAUAUCAUGUUAUGUAUACCUAUGUGAUC